CGCGGAACGAGGAAGUUGCUUCAACGAGUUUGGACACUUGGGAGUUUUUUCUACCUCAGAGCCUAGGCAGGAGGAACCUCUAUAAAUAAGUGCCAAGAUAAAAAGUUGGAGGCAUUAUGCUGUAUUGGUGCUGGGCAUUACCUCUGGACCAUCUUUCCUUUGGAGUCUUCUUUCUCAAGUGUGCCAUCUUGGCUUGGUAGUUCCUGAUACUUCCACUAGAGGGCAGCAUACU
rnacentral:lncRNA from 1 species